ACACGGCAUGCUGCACCCUGACACCUGGUGCCUCGGUGACCUUAUUUAGUACUUACUCCUGGGGCUCCAGCUAGACUGACAGGGAUUGCUCUUCCUGUCAGCUUCAAGAAUGAAAGAGCUGCUGACUCUAUUCUGUCCGCCACACAGCAUUUGAGGGUGGUGGCGCUGGGGCCAGUGGCCUGCUUCUUUUGGAUUGCCUCUCCUGCUUUACCAACAGGGGCUGGAUGACAGCACUCACUCAUCAUCUUCACCACUUUCCUCACCUGGAAUUCACCCUCCACUCUUCCAGUCUAAUAGGGUUAAUGAGCCGCCAUGAACUGUGGCCCAGCCAUGCCACCCUGCCUUGGAGCCAACUGAGUGUGGACUGAAACCUCCAAAAACUUGAGCUGACUGUUGACUGAAACCUCCACAAACUGAGUAAAAUAUCCAUGAUGCAGAGAUGAACUUUAACAAGGAGCAACUGACAAGGACAAUGGAUAUCUUUUCCCUCUCCUUCAACUGGGGUAUCUUCUGCUGCAUCUUACUCAAGUUACAUUACAUCAUUCUCUCUACAAUGUAUUACUUACAUUCAUAGAAUUUCAUGGGAUGGAUUUUCAGUGGUCUUGGACAGUAUCUGUAGUAACUGCCAACUGAUAUUUUUGACAUGCAGAGAAUUUUAUCCAGUGUUAAUUCUUUCAUGUGGGCCAAGUAAAGUCUUUUGAAAAAGUAAUAUACUUAUGGGAUUUCUUUACAUACUUAUUCAUUUAGAUCUGUGCAUAGAAGCAAGAUGAAUAAGUUCCCCAUCCCUUACAAUAAUGCCAAUUCUCUCCACUAUUCAUGCUCACACAUUGUAGACAGAAGAUGCAGUAAUGAAGGUUUUGCCAUUCUAUAUUUAGCAUUUCUUUUCAUGUAUUGAACACAAGUGGAAUGUAUUCAGAGAGGUAGAAUGAGCUAAGGCUUUUUUAUGUACGUAAGAUCUUCUCUGAAUGUUUUCAUGUUUUUUGAAGGAAAUUGGAACAUCUGGAGGUUUUUCGAUUGAUUACAUACACAGGAUUUCUGAGUACUGUAAAUUCUUAUCUGCAAUACUUAGAGGAACAAAGGAAGAUUUUACUGUAUUGCUCAUGUAAGUAAGGUUUUUACCCACUAUAAAUCCAUUUAUGUAUUAGAAGAGUACUUGAAAAAUUGAAGAGUAGCACAUUGCUUAUAGAUCUCUCCAAUGUGUACUUAAAGGGAACUGGAAUGUAUGUCGAGUUUUCCCACACUGCUUAGCUUUAUGUGGCUCCUCUUGUGUAUGAAUUCUUUCAUGUACUUGAAAGGUAGGGAAUGAUGGGAGGCUUUGCUUCUUUUCUUAUAUACCUGGACCUGAGUCAUUUCAUGUCUAAGAAGACUGGAAACUCUGAAGGCUUUCCCAAAUUGCUUGCAUUUAUAACGAGUGUCUCCAGUGUGAACUUGUUUGUACACUAUUAAGGAAUUGGAAUAAAUAAAUGUUUUCCCACA